UGCAGUCGAGCGGAACGAGUUAUCUGAACCUUCGGGGGACGAUAACGGCGUCGAGCGGCGGACGGGUGAGUAAUGCCUAGGAAAUUGCCCUGAUGUGGGGGAUAACCAUUGGAAACGAUGGCUAAUACCGCAUGAUGCCUACGGGCCAAAGAGGGGGACCUUCGGGCCUCUCGCGUCAGGAUAUGCCUAGGUGGGAUUAGCUAGUUGGUGAGGUAAGGGCUCACCAAGGCGACGAUCCCUAGCUGGUCUGAGAGGAUGAUCAGCCACACUGGAACUGAGACACGGUCCAGACUCCUACGGGAGGCAGCAGUGGGGAAUAUUGCACAAUGGGCGCAAGCCUGAUGCAGCCAUGCCGCGUGUAUGAAGAAGGCCUUCGGGUUGUAAAGUACUUUCAGUCGUGAGGAAGGCGGCGUCGUUAAUAGCGGCGUUGUUUGACGUUAGCGACAGAAGAAGCACCGGCUAACUCCGUGCCAGCAGCCGCGGUAAUACGGAGGGUGCGAGCGUUAAUCGGAAUUACUGGGCGUAAAGCGCAUGCAGGUGGUUUGUUAAGUCAGAUGUGAAAGCCCGGGGCUCAACCUCGGAAUAGCAUUUGAAACUGGCAGACUAGAGUACUGUAGA
rnacentral:rRNA from 1 species